rnacentral:rRNA from 1 species
AUUGAACGCUGGCGGCAGGCCUAACACAUGCAAGUCGAACGAGUGGCGGACGGGUGAGUAAUGCUUGGGAAUCUAGCUUAUGGCGGGGGAUAAUUCCGGGAAACUGUAGCUAAUACCGCGUACCAUAGGAUGAGCCCAAGGUGCACUAGGUAGUUGGUGGGGUAAAGGCUCACCAAGCCGACGAUCUCCAGCUGGUCUGAGAGGAUGACCGGCCACACUGGGACUGAGACACGGUCCAGACGCCUACGGGAGGCAGCAGUGGGGAAUAUUGCGCAAUGGGGGCAACCUGACGCAGCCAUGCCGCGUGAGUGAAGAAGGCCUUCGGGUUGUAAAGUUCUUUCGGUAGCGAGGCGUUAACUACAGAAGAAGCACCGGCUAACUCCGUGCCAGCAGCCGCGGUAAUAC